rnacentral:rRNA from 1 species
AGAGUUUGAUCAUGGCUCAGGACGAACGCUGGCGGCAUGCCUUACACAUGCAAGUCGAACGGCAGCGCGGACUUCGGUCUGGCGGCGAGUGGCGAACGGGUGAGUAAUACAUCGGAACGUGUCCUGUAGUGGGGGAUAGCCCGGCGAAAGCCGGAUUAAUACCGCAUACGAUCUACGGAUGAAAGCGGGGGACCUUCGGG